rnacentral:rRNA from 1 species
CCUACGGGUGGCAGCAGUGGGGGAUCUUUCACAAUGGGGGAAACCCUGAUGCAGCGACGCCGCGUGUGGGAAGACGGUCCUCUGGAUUGUAAACCACUGUCACCAGGGACGAAGAUGACGGUACCUGGGGAGGAGGCUCCGGCUAACUACGUUCAAGCAUACGCGGUACUACGUUGGGAGCGAGCGUUGUCCGGAAUUAAUGGGUGUAACGGAAGCGUAGGCGGGACUGCAAGUUGGGUGUAAAAUCUACCGGAUCAACCGGUAGCCGCACUCAAAACUGCAGUUCUUGAGUGAAGUAGAGGCAGGCGGAAUUCCUAGUGUAGCGGUGAAAUGCGUAGAUAUUAGGAGGAACACCAGUGGCGAAGGCGGCCUGCUGGGCUUUUACUGACGCUGAGGCUCGAAAGUGUGGGGAGCAAAAAGGAUUAGAUACCCCAGUAGUC